ensembl:lncRNA PCA3 prostate cancer associated 3
GAAGCUGGCAUCAGAAAAACAGAGGGGAGAUUUGUGUGGCUGCAGCCGAGGGAGACCAGGAAGAUCUGCAUGGUGGGAAGGACCUGAUGAUACAGAGUUUGAUAGGAGACAAUUAAAGGCUGGAAGGCACUGGAUGCCUGAUGAUGAAGUGGACUUUCAAACUGGGGCACUACUGAAACGAUGGGAUGGCCAGAGACACAGGAGAUCAGUUGGAGCAAGCUCAAUAACAAAGUGGUUCAACGAGGACUUGGAAUUGCAUGGAGCUGGAGCUGAAGUUUAGCCCAAUUGUUUACUAGUUGAGUGAAUGUGGAUGAUUGGAUGAUCAUUUCUCAUCUCUGAGCCUCAGGUUCCCCAUCCAUAAAAUGGGAUACACAGUAUGAUCUAUAAAGUGGGAUAUAGUAUGAUCUACUUCACUGGGUUAUUUGAAGGAUGAAUUGAGAUAAUUUAUUUCAGGUGCCUAGAACAAUGCCCAGAUUAGUACAUUUGGUGGAACUGAGAAAUGGCAUAACACCAAAUUUAAUAUAUGUCAGAUGUUACUAUGAUUAUCAUUCAAUCUCAUAGUUUUGUCAUGGCCCAAUUUAUCCUCACUUGUGCCUCAACAAAUUGAACUGUUAACAAAGGAAUCUCUGGUCCU